GCCAGGCAUGGUGGCGCACGCCUGUAAUCCCAGUGACCUGGGAGGCUGAGACAGGAGGAUCACAAGUACAAAGCCGGCCUCAGCGAAAGUGAGGCACUAAGCAAUUCAGUAAGACCCUGUCUCUA
rnacentral:sRNA from 1 species